AUUUUAUCCCAGACAUGCUCUCUCUAAAACGGCGCUCUCUCUUCUCUCUCACCAUUUUUUUUUGCUUUUCAUUCUCUUUGUGAAGCUAUAGAGAAGCAUGGUUGCUGUACGAAGCUGUAGUGAAGGAGCUGAAGAAAGAAGAUUCAGGCGAGCUCAAGAUCUUAAGCGGUCGUGAAGGAGUAUUGAAGAAGAUGACUCAUCUUAGUCUCUUACCGAAUCUCGCCGCUCCUCACAGUCUCUGGUGUGAGAAAAAGUGAAGACAAAGCAUCCCCAGCUGCCAAAAACUCAAAACCUGUCUCACUCAGGUGGACCAAGCAGAGACGCUCCAGCAGGGCAGGUGUUACCGCAGAGGAAGACUAAUGAUGAUGCUUGUAUCACUGAACUAUACCAUUUACAUAGAAUUACUUUUGUAAUAUUUAAUUUCAUAUACAUAUAUAAUUGGAAUCUUUUUUACAAUCUUUCAGUCACCGUUAAAAAA